UGCACAGAUUGUCCAAUCAGAAGGCUUGUUUCCUGAGCAACUUCACUGACAAUAUGCCGAAGCCUGCCGACCUCAAGAAACUUCUUGAUAUGGGCUCUUCACAGAAAAAGCCUGAAAAUAGAAAGUACGACUAUGUAGUUGAUGGCGCUGUUAAUGAUCGCUCGUUUCUGAGUGAUGAAAUGGCUGACCUGUGUUCCAAGCUGCCUAUCUAUCGCGUCAAGACUGUACUGGCGGAGGAACCUCCGAAACGACAAAAGCGCCGAACUUGUUGGUAUCGGGUAACAACAAUCACAAUCUGCAAUGGUAACGGCUGCCUUAUAAUAAGGAUUUAUAGGUUGAUAGGAUGCUGGUGAACAAAACCUCCUGACUCACUUGUAUAACCGCAAGAUAUUUUGAAGGUGGUUAGAGACAGGUCUCAUAGUACUUGCGUACCUCGUUUAGUGUUACUUUCAAGUGUUUAACUUCUGAGAGCAUCAUUUGAUUGGAACUUCGGUGCCCUUAAUUUUGUUUCGCAGAAACGGCUUUUAGAUUCCUUACGGAGUAAAUAUAGUUUAAAUCUUGAAAGCUAUUACAAAAUAAGAGCAAUCAGAAUAACUGAUGACCUGGAUUACUGCUGCAACUAACCAUGAGAACAUAAUGCAGAAACUGAGAAACGAGUUUUGUCAAAAUAAAAACUUGAAACAACUAACGAUGCUUUCAGUCCCAGGCUGAUGCGAAAUGUUCUUUCCAGGUUCAUCGCAAAAUUAAGAAUCGAUCUUUUUAAUCUAUACAGAGUAAUUAACUCGCUGCUUCAAAUCAUGUUUUCUGUUUAGUUGCGCCGCGUCUAAGGUCCGUUAAGUAGCAAAAUUAUAAACGAAAAGAUUUUUCGAAGAAGCUUUUGAUUUUGAUGUGUGUAAUAAACAGUUGUAGAGGAAGUAGCUAUAAAUAAAGCCACUUGCUUGGGGAAGA